GAUGAACGCUGGCGGCGUGCCUAAUACAUGCAAGUCGAGCGAACGGACGAGAAGCUUGCUUCUCUGAUGUUAGCGGCGGACGGGUGAGUAACACGUGGAUAACCUACCUAUAAGACUGGGAUAACUUCGGGAAACCGGAGCUAAUACCGGAUAAUAUUUUGAACCGCAUGGUUCAAAAGUGAAAGACGGUCUUGCUGUCACUUAUAGAUGGAUCCGCGCUGCAUUAGCUAGUUGGUAAGGUAACGGCUUACCAAGGCAACGAUGCAUAGCCGACCUAAGAGGGUGAUCGGCCACACUAGAACUGAGACACGGUCCAGACUCCUACGGGAGGCAGCAGUAGGGAAUCUUCCGCAAUGGGCGAAAGCCUGACGGAGCAACGCCGCGUGAGUGAUGAAGGUCUUCGGAUCGUAAAACUCUGUUAUUAGGGAAGAACAUAUGUGUAAGUAACUGUGCACAUCUUGACGGUACCUAAUCAGAAAGCCACGGCUAACUACGUG
rnacentral:rRNA from 1 species